UGUACCUGAAAAGAGGUGCUGUUCCGACAGUACGCUCAUCGCAACCGCAAGCUAUUACCAGUACAUCACAAGAACAACAACACGCGACAGACGCAGAAUGCCAAACCGAUGCUCCAUGUGUGGCAUCUCACGGACACAACUGUCUUAUAUGACAUUGGGACCUCGCCUACGAAGCAAAGGCCUACAGGCAUCAGUGCUAUGCCAAAGUGUGGCAGUAGGCACAACAGCUCCUUCAGUCUCUGGGCCAUUGUCUUCAACUCCUUUGAAGGGUCUGAGGCCAGAAAAGAGACCUCGUCUUGAAUUUGAGGAGGAGGUGGAGGAUGUUUCCUAUGAAGGCUCUGAUCCUCAAGAUUUAACAUUUGAUCCUGCACAGUCAGUUACGAUGGAGACAGAAUCAUCUCAGCUUGAGUAAGCAAAGUUUCAACUCUCACAAUGCAGCAGUGUUAUUUACAUACAAUGUGACUGUUGUCAGAUUGCACCCCUGUGGGCAACCUUCAGCUGUUUGCUGCCAUCUACUUUUGUGGAGCCUCAUUUGCGUAGAUGAAAAAGGUGUUUCGGGCAAUGCAGCUGCGAACACAUAGUUAUGCUGCCUUCAGAAAACAUGCUUACCUGGAACCAGCCAUAAUCCACAGCUGGACUGAAUGGCAAACACCUAUGCUUCAAACGCUCAGUAAGGCAACCACUGUCAUUCUCGGAGGCGAUAUGCGAGCAGACUCACCAGGACAUUCUGCAAAGUAUGGGAGCUACACGAUGAUGGAUGUGCAGACCAACAAAAUCGUAGACAUACAGCUGGUGCAGAGCAACGAGGUGGGGGGAAGCUCAUACAUGGAGAAGGAGGGUCUCAUAAGAGCUUUGGACCUCCUACAUGGUAGUGGUGUGAAGUUGGACUGCAUUAUCACCGAUCGUCACCCUCCGAUCCCAAAGUUCCUGAGGGACCGUAAAAUCACCCAUUACUAUGAUGUAUGGCAUGUAGCAAAAGCUCCCUCUCCGGAACAGAGAAGGUAGCAAAAUGGAAGUCUGUGUUGAACCAUAUUCAAGAUGUCCACAGUCAUUCUGACCCAGCUUUCCCCAAGUGUGGACAUCAACCCAAUGCCUCAAAGGACCCUAGCAAGUGGUUUCGACCAGGUUCGACAGCUCUGAACAGUAUUGAAAAGGUGCUAACAAACAAGAGGUGCCUUACUGAUGUUGAAAAGCUAAGCCAUCAUUUCCAGACAUCAACUGUGGAGUCAUUCCAGUGUCAUCCAGUGUUUUGCUCCCAAAAACGUUGUUUUCCCCUUCAUUGGAAUGCUAUGCGGGUUGUACCUUGCUGCCAUGCACUUCAUCGAGAAUGCCGAGCGCGCACAACGGAAGACAGCCAAGGGGAAACUAAUGUAUAUACUUGUGUUCCCAAAGGCCAAAAGGGAAGGUUACACAGUCAAACCAAUGAAGACAGAGCCAACAAUGUGCUAUGUCUUCAACAUGAUGCAACUGGUGUUGGAAGAGAUCAUCCAUGACCCCCUUCCUUAUGUGGCUGCCGUCCAGCUGAUUCCUGUGCCCCAGCCCCUGUGUGUUCAGCUCGACAGGCCUUCCAUGGAGGAUGCUGUUGCUCAACAUUUGUCACG